ensembl:snRNA U2 U2 spliceosomal RNA
AUAAUUUGGGAGGAAAGGCAAUUUCCAUGUGCAUAAAUGGAUUUGUGGAGCAGGGAGUUGGAAAAGGAGCUUGCUUUGUCCACUCCAUUCAUUGACCUGGUAUUGCAGUACCUCUGGGAAUGGUGCACUCCCU